UACGAAGGGGGCUAGCGUUGCUCGGAAUCACUGGGCGUAAAGGGUGCGUAGGCGGGUCUUUAAGUCAGGGGUGAAAUCCUGGAGCUCAACUCCAGAACUGCCUUUGAUACUGAGGAUCUUGAGUCCGGGAGAGGUGAGUGGAACUCCGAGUGUAGAGGUGAAAUUCGUAGAUAUUCGCAAGAACACCAGUGGCGAAGGCGGCUCACUGGCCCGAUACUGACGCUGAGGUGCGAAAGCGUGGGGAGCAAACAGG
rnacentral:rRNA from 1 species